CUCAUUCACACGCUAACUCACCCACUCAUUCACACACUAACCCACUCGUUCACACACCCACUCAUUCACACAAUAACAUCCACUCAUUCACACACCCACUCAUUCACACACUAACUCGCCCACUCAUUCACAAACUCGCCCACUCGUUCACACUAACCCCCUCAUUCACACACCCUCACACACUCUCACACACUAACCCACUCAUUCACACACUAACCCACUCGUUCACACACCCAUUCACACUCAUCCACACAAUAACCCACCCAUUCAUGCACUAACCCACUCAUUCACACACCAACUCACCCACUCAGUCAUGCACUAACUCACCCACUCAUUCACAUACUAACCCACUCGUUCACAAACCCACUCACACACUAACUCCCUCAUUCACACACUAACCCACUCAUUCACACACUAACUCACCCACUCGUUCACACACCAAAACACUGACCCAUUCACACACUAACUCGCCCACUCAUUCACACAAACUCACCCACUCGUUCACACACUAACUCACCCACUCAUUCACACUAACUCAUUCACACAUUGACCCACCCACUCACUCAUUCACACACUAACCCGACUCAUU
rnacentral:lncRNA from 1 species